GAUGAAGAACGUAGCGAAAUGCGAUAAGUAAUGUGAAUUGCAGAAUUCAGUGAAUCAUCGAAUCUUUGAACGCACAUUGCGCCCGCCAGUAUUCUGGCGGGCAUGCCUGUUCGAGCGUCAUUUCAACCCUCAAGACCCCUUCGGGGGACUUGGUGUUGGGGACCGGCACAGGGGCCUGCCUGCUUGUCUUGCAGCGCCCUCGCCGCCCCCGAAAUGAAUUGGCGGCCUUGUCGCGGCCUCCCCUGCGUAGUAGCACAACCUCGCAACGGGAACGUGACGGCGGCCACUGCCGUAAAACAACCCCAAUUUUAUUAGAGUUGACCUCGAAUCAGGUAGGAAUACCCGCUGAACUUAAGCAUAUCAAUAAGCGGAGGA
rnacentral:misc_RNA from 1 species